UACAGAGGUCCCAAGCGUUGUUCGGAUUCAUUGGGCGUAAAGGGCGCGUAGGCGGCGCGGUAAGUCGGGUGUGAAAUCUCGGAGCUUAACUCCGAAACUGCAUUCGAUACUGCCGUGCUUGAGGACUGGAGAGGAGACUGGAAUUUACGGUGUAGCGGUGAAAUGCGUUGAUAUCGGAAGGAACGCCGGUGGCGAAAGCGCGCUGCUGGACCUCUUCUGACGCUGAGGCGCGAGAGCUAGGGGAGCGAACGGG
rnacentral:rRNA from 1 species